rnacentral:rRNA from 1 species
ACAUCCAGAGAAUUUAGCAGAGAUGCUUUAGUGCCUUCGGGAACUCUGAGACAGGUGCUGCAUGGCUGUCGUCAGCUCGUGUUGUGAAAUGUUGGGUUAAGUCCCGNAACGAGCGCAACCCUUAUCCUUUGUUGCCAGCACGUAAUGGUGGGAACUCAAAGGAGACUGCCGGUGAUAAACCGGAGGAAGGUGGGAUGACGUCAAGUCAUCAUGGCCCUUACGAGUAGGGCUACACACGUGCUACAAUGGCGCAUACAAAGAGAAGCGACCUCGCGAGAGCAAGCGGACCUCAUAAAGUGCGUCGUAGUCCGGAUUGGAGUCUGCAACUCGACUCCAUGAAGUCGGAAUCGCUAGUAAUCGUAAAUCAGAAUGUUACGGUGAAUACGUUCCCGGGCCUUGUACACACCGCCCGUCACACCAUGGGAGUGGGUUGCAAAAGAAGUAGAUAGCUUAACCUUCGGGAGGGCGUUUACCACUUUGUGAUUCAUGACUGGGGUGAAGUCGUAACAAGGUAGGCGUAGUGCU